rnacentral:rRNA from 1 species
AGAGUUUGAUCCUGGCUCAGGAUGAACGCUGGCGGCAUGCCUAAUACAUGCAAGUCGAACGAGGAUCCUUGUGGAUCCUAGUGGCGAACGGGUGAGUAACACGUAGGGAACCUGCCCGCGCACCGGGAAUACGCUCUGGAAACGGAGAACAAAUCCCGAUGUACAGGAAGGAGGCAUCUUCUUUCUGUGAAACAUCCUGUAAGGGAUGGGGCGCGGAUGGACCUGCGGUGCAUUAGUUGGUUGGCGAGGGUAAAGGCCCACCAAGACGAUGAUGCAUAGCCGGCCUGAGAGGGCGGACGGCCACAUUGGGACUGAGACACGGCCCAGACUCCUGCGGGAGGCAGCAGUAGGGAAUUUUCGUCAAUGGGCGCAAGCCUGAACGAGCGAUGCCGCGUGAGUGAAGAAGGCCUUCGGGUCGUAAAGCUCUGUUGCGGGGGAAAAAAGGCAUCUGCAGGAAAUGGUAGAUGACAGAUGGUGCCCCGCCAGAAAGUCACGGCUAACUACGUGCCAGCAGCCGCGGCAAUACGUAGGUGGCGAGCGUUAUCCGGAAUGAUUGGGCGUAAAGGGUGCGCAGGCGGUCCUGCAAGUCUGGAGUGAAACGUAUGAGCUCAACUCAUGCAUGGCUCUGGAAACUGGAGGAC